CUAGGGGAGCAGGAAAAAUAAACAGGAAGCAAUCCGGGGAGAAGGGUUAGGGGCUGGUGCGACCUGGAGAGGAGCUGGGAACUGGGGCGAUGGGGAAAGAAGCCCCUGAACGCGGGCAGCGCUGCGCGGGAGGGGCGCGGCGGGGAAGCCAGGAGGCCUGAGAAGGGGCGCCGUGGCCCAGGAGACCCUGCUCUGAUUGAGGAUUCUGCCUGUGUAGUUCUUGGCCGUGAUUUUACCAGUGUGCCCCGCCCCCCCAACACACACGGGAGCCAUCCCUGUUUCCUUGAUGGGUCUAGAAGGGCAAAACGGGGCCAGCGUGACUUCUGUGCCCUAGCCCAUCCAGCACAGUAGCCACUUGCCCACUUGUGGCUAUGGAGCUGAAAUGGACUAGUCCUAAUGGACACGUGCUGAAGACUUGUCAGACAAAGGAAAGAAGUGGAUACAGUGCUGGUCCAGAGGUCCUGCAGAGGAAGUCACACUGGCCCUUGUUUUGCCCUUCUACAUGCACCAAGGAAAGAAACAGAAGGAAUGGAAAGAAAUUUUUCCUGAGGAUAGGGCUGACUUCUGUUGAAAAUGUAUUCCUGCUGGCCCCUGACACCAUCUGAUGAGAGGGUAAGGCAC